rnacentral:tRNA from 1 species
AGUUCAGUUGGUUAGAGCAUGGUGCUGAUAACGCCAAGGUCAUGGGUUCGAUUCCUGU